rnacentral:lncRNA from 1 species
AGGGUAGUUAUAGAAAACUCUUCCAUGAAUCACUAAUGGCAUUGUUUCAUCAUUAUCACCCUCCCCCUCUUUGGACCAAGAUCCAAAGAGAUCUCAAGGAAGUUUAGUAGGUAAAGGUAAAGGUUUCCCCUGAUGUUAAGUCCAGUCGUGUCCGACUCUGGGGAAGGUGCUCAUCUCCAUUUCUAAGCUGAAGAGCCAGCAUUGUCUGUAGACACCUCCAAGGUCAUGUGGCCAGCAUGACUGCAUGAAGCGCCUUUACCUUCCCACUGGAGCGGUACCUGUUGAUCUACUCACAUUUGCAUGUUUUCAAACUGCUAGGUUGGCUGAAGCUGGAGCUAACAGCUCCACUCAUGUCAGGAGAGAAUGCUUCUGCAACAAGGCCAUAUAGCCUUGAAAACAUACAGCAACCAAAUUAAUGUAUAGAUUUGGAACACUGGAAAAUGUUAAAAUAUUUGCAAAGGAACAUAAGGCUUAUUCAGUAAUGGACAUAGUAGUAAUGGGAAACAUGUGGCCCCUUUGAAUGCUCCUGGACUUUACCUCCCAUCAUCCUUUACCUUUGGCUAUGCUACCUUGGACCAGAUGGGUGCUUCCAUCCAAAAAAGAUCUGAAGGGCUGGAUCUUUUCAAACUCUAGUGGUUAAUACUGGCAUAAGGAUUAAGGCUAGUAUGGAAUACACAUCGUAUUAGAGAGUCCAGCAAUGUGUGUUUGUAAAUUAUGUGUAUUUGUGGUGAUGGAAAGGAACCAAAGACAGGCUGCAAAGCAUUAAAUUAUCUGUACUUCUGCUUCUACCCCAUUAGACUGAUGCCUAUUGUAACUCAUCAAAGUAUUAUCUAAGGUAGUGACAGAAUGUCAAUCACCAGAUUGUGUAGGUGUAACUAAUUUCAAAAUUUAGGAAUAUUCAGCAGAUGAAAUGUCUUCUGAAUCAUACUCACACUGUCACGACUUUGUAGAGAGAAUAAUGAACAGAAUCUCAAAUGCAGGAAUAUUGCCCAAGCUUGUCAGUGUUGUGGACACUCCUGCAUUUCCUCAAUUGUUUUUCAGAUAGGGAAUUGUAAUCCUCUCUGUAACAUUUAUGUCUGAAUUAACAUACUUGCGUGGGUUUCUUUUAAAACAACACUGCACGUGUUUUUCAAAGACCUCUCGAUCCCUAAGAAAGAUUAUAAAAUGAUUUUCUCUUGACGGGACUUGGAUAACUCACACCUACAUCUAUACCUAUUUUGGGUGUACUGUAUACAUAUUGCUUUGCCAAAAUGACUUUCUCAACUAACUUGAUGAAGGGUUCAUCUAAAAUGGGAAUUAAAAAGAAAAGAAACCUUAUAGGACAGAUACACGUGAAGAACUGGGAAUAUUUUUAUCAUCUAGUACUCACUUCAAAAGAUGGUAAUGGAUAAAAAUAGAUAUGAUGUAUCUGGGAACAAAGAAAAAUGGUAAAU